CCUCCUUUUCUUGGCGGGGCCGGGCGUGCAGUCCCGGUCCCCAUAUGUACGGAGGCAGAGGGAGCGGACUCCAGUCCCCUCGGUGCCACAUCUUCGGUGCCAGUGGCUACCCAUCCGCUGGUUCUAUCCUCAAAUGCCGGGACAAUG